CUACGAUAGUAGAGGGGCAUUAUGUUUUCUGGUCUGUGCGUCCGUUCGUCCGUCCGUCCGUCUGUCCGUCCGUCCGUCCGUCCGUCUGUCCCGCUUCAGAUUAAAGUUUUUGGUCAAGGUAGUUUUUGAUGAAGCUGAAGUUCAAUCAACUUGAAACUUAGUACACAUGUUACUUAUGAUAUGAUCUUUCUAAUUUUAAAGCCAAAUUAAACUUUUGACCCCAAUUUCACGGUCCACUGAACAUAGAAAAUGAAAGUGCGAGUUUCAGGUUAAAGUUUUUGGUCAAGGUAGUUUUUGAUGAAGCUGAAGUCCAAUCAACUUGAAACUCAGUACACAUGUUCCCUAUGAUCUGAUCUUUCUAAUUUUAAUGCCUUAUUAUAUUUUUUACCAAUUUUCACGGUCCAUUGAACUUGGAAAAUGAUAGUGCGAGUGGGGC
rnacentral:lncRNA from 1 species